CAAGGACGAGUGAUGAUUUGAAUAUUAACGACAUCUAGCGGUGAACUAGUAACAGUCACUUAAAAAGACCAACCCGUCACAAGGAAAGUUGUCGUCAAAAAAAAACAUUAAGUGUAACCACUGAUCAUGCAAUGUUUGUUCAAGGUGAGAAACUCACUGCGUUCGCGACAACGAUCGGGACUCUCGACUGAGCAAUGCUUCAGCUGGUUGAAGAGCUCUCCAGAUGUGAACACCCUCACCAGGUACACAGCCACAGAGUACCGCUGCAUCCAAAACACAGCGCAGGGGGAUCCUAAACCAACAAAACCACUGGACAAUGAAACAAAGAGGACCUUGGCAAGCACCAUGAUCUCCCCUCUACCUCCCAAUCGUCAUCUAUCUCCAGUGGUUUCCAUGGCAACAACGCUUGGUCCUGCUCGCCUGUGAUCCUUUUUGACCCCUGAGGGUAACCUUUGGUCUAACGGGUCAUGGCCAGGGUCAAGAGGUCAGGAGUGGCCAGAGGGCGAUGAAAGCACUUCUGUGAUUGGCUCUCUUACCAUCCCACAUAUUUUCAUUUGUGUGCCUUGUCCUUCAGUAAGCCUAACUAAAAGACUGUACUUUCUCUAUUUCCAACAAAUACACACAGACAUGAUCUCAAUCCAUCAGUGUGAGCAGUUGAUUGUGUGGCGGAUGAAUGCACUGGAACACUCUUGUGAAAACAGAAAACGUAGAAUCGAUCAUAUUCCCUCCGCGUGAAUGUGUGGGUGUGUGUGUGUUUGUAUGAAACUUCUUGUAAGAGCUACGGUAUCUGCUUUGCAUCACCAAGCGGCCUAUUCAUUUCUUUCACACCUCGUUCUUUAUGAGUUGAAGAGAAACGGCAAUGAAGUGCUUUUAAAGAUGGUAAUGUGUCUUCUUCCUCAGUCUCGCAUUGAAAGGACCUCAUUCCAAGUCGCUGUGCAUAAUGGCGUCAACUAAAUGGCCGAAACAUAAUGUAAAAUCUGCCAGUCACAUGACUAUAGCCAUCCACAGUCCCCUAAUUCAUCCUUCGGAUGAUGGGUUGUCAAUAUUGAUUUAUGAGCGUAAUGGUCAUGGACUGAUAGAAGGGUAGGAUGGGGGAAGAUGAGUUAAGAGAAGAUGGAGAGAAAGCGAUAGAGGAGGAUAAAGGGGGUGCAGAGGUGAAGGUGGACGUAGAUUGCUGGUAGAGCUGGAGGAACAUCCCUAACAAAGACACCAGGUUCAGUGACGGUCAAAAUAUAUUCGAAGGAAGCAUCCCUCAUGAGCGGGUUAACAACCUCCGGUGAACCCACUGCUAUUGCAUAAGAUCUCUGAAGGACUCUUAAAAGGUAUUUUAAUAGGAGCUGUGACCUUUCACCUUCUAGCACUGACAUUAAGCUCCUGACCCCACUGACACUACCAUCAAUUUGGUUCCUUCUCUCCAUCUUAUUAAAACAGCCGUGUUUACUGCUUAUUUGGUGGUUGUCUGUUACUCCAGUUUCUGUUGGUUAAUAUUUGAUUGUUUUUAUGUAUUAUUUUUAACAUAUGAGUACAUAUUAACAUUAAAGUGUGCAUAGCUUUCCUAAACAACGUUUUGAUAAUAAUUUAAAAAAAAAAAUGUAUAAGGUUGAAUUGUGUUAAUAUCCACGUUAUUUUGCAAAGCAGAGGUAAGCCUUUUUCUACGAAUGUGCUAUACCUGUUCAUAGCGUAGCCUAUAGACAUUAACAGGCUAACAAAGUGGAGAAAGUGGUAAAACGAUUUGUGCUUGUGUUUAUGAUUAUGGUAAUAAAUGAAACAAUGGUGUAGCAAAUAGCAGUUUGCAACAUAAAGCAAAACACUGGAUGGCUUUUAUGCAGGUAAAAUAACUGGAAGUGAAGACACCGGAAGAUGCGCACAUUCAAGCAAACAUCCGCGCCGGAUCUUAGUAAAAAACAGAUGCGCAUGAACAGUCUGAACAGGUAACCAUAGCAACAGUUC